UACGUAGGGACCAAGCGUUGUUCGGAUUUACUGGGCGUAAAGGGCGCGUAGGCGGCAAUUCAAGUCAUCUGUGAAAUCCCCGGGCUCAACCUGGGAACUGCAUUUGUGACUGCACAGCUGGAGUGCGGCAGAGGGGGAUGGAAUUCCGCGUGUAGCAGUGAAAUGCGUAGAUAUGCGGAGGAACACCGAUGGCGAAGGCAAUCCCCUGGGCCUGCACUGACGCUCAUGCACGAAAGCGUGGGGGGCAAACAGG
rnacentral:rRNA from 1 species